rnacentral:misc_RNA from 1 species
GGAAGGAUCAUUACCGAGUUCUGGGUUCCUUCUCUUAGGGCCCGCUCUCCCACCCUUUGUGUAUCUUACCUUGUUGCUUUGGCGGGCCAGCGCCCCUAAAAAGGCGCGGCCGGCUCCCAUCCCGGGGGCUGGCAAGCGCCCGCCAGAGGAAUAUCAAACUCUUAUCAGUAAACGAUGAAGUCUGAUCGAAUAUAUUAAUAUUCUAAAACUUUCAACAACGGAUCUCUUGGUUCUGGCAUCGAUGAAGAACGCAGCGAAAUGCGAUAAGUAAUGUGAAUUGCAGAAUUCAGUGAAUCAUCGAAUCUUUGAACGCACAUUGCGCCCUAUGGUAUUCCGUAGGGCAUGCCUGUUCGAGCGUCAUUACAACCCUCAAGCUUUGCUUGGUAUUGGGCGUCGUCCCCCAAACGGACGUGCCUCAAAGACCUCGGCGGUGGCCUCUUUGCCUCAAGCGUAGUAAAACAACUCUCGCUUUGGAGUCGAAGGAGUCGCCCGCCGGACGAACCUUCUGAACUUUUUUCUCAAGGUUGACCUCGGAUCAGGUAGGGAUACCCGCUGAACUUAAGCAUAUCAAUAAGCGGAGGAAAAGAAACCAACAGGGAUUGCCUCAGUAACGGCGAGUGAAGCGGCAACAGCUCAAAUUUGAAAUCUGGCCCUUUCAGGGUCCGAGUUGUAAUUUGUAGAGGAUGCUUCGGCGAGGGCUCCCGUCUAAGUUCCCUGGAACGGGACGUCAUAGAGGGUGAGAAUCCCGUAUGUGAUGGGUUGCUCAAGCCAUGUGAAGCUCCUUCGACGAGUCGAGUUGUUUGGGAAUGCAGCUCUAAAUGGGAGGUAAAUUUCUUCUAAAGCUAAAUAUUGGCCAGAGACCGAUAGCGCACAAGUAGAGUGAUCGAAAGAUGAAAAGCACUUUGGAAAGAGAGUUAAAAAGUACGUGAAAUUGUUGAAAGGGAAGCGCUUGCAACCAGACUUGUUCGCAGUUGCUCAGCCGGUCUCCUGACCGGUGUACUCUUCUGCGUGCAGGCCAGCAUCAGUUCGGGCGGCCGGAUAAAGGCCCCAGGAAUGUAGCACUCUUCGGGGUGUGUUAUAGCCUGGGGUGGAAUGCGGUCAGCCUGGACUGAGGAUCUCGCUUCGGCAAGGAUGCUGGCGUAAUGGUUGUAAGCGGCCCGUCUUGAAACACGGACCAAGGAGUCUAACAUCUAUGCGAGUGUUUGGGUGUCAAACCCAUACGCGUAAUGAAAGUGAACGGAGGUGGGAACCCUCACGGGUGCACCAUCGACCGAUCCUGAUGUCUUCGGAUGGAUUUGAGUAAGAGCAUAGCUGUUGGGACCCGAAAGAUGGUGAACUAUGCCUGAAUAGGGUGAAGCCAGAGGAAACUCUGGUGGAGGCUCGCAGCGGUUCUGACGUGCAAAUCGAUCGUCAAAUUUGGGUAUAGGGGCGAAAGACUAAUCGAACCAUCUAGUAGCUGGUUCCUGC